rnacentral:lncRNA from 1 species
CGCUAACGCGUAAAUCAAUUGUUCGAAAACGCGGAUUUACAUGUUCACCUGCGCCUUGCCCGCCGCGCGGAGCGCGUUGGCGCGGACGAUGGAGGCGAUGGUGUUGCCGAGGAGCUUGGCGUCGUCGAGAGGGUUGCCGGGCACCACAGUCUUGUAGAGGUAGGAGUCGAAGGUCAUCUUCUGGACGUACUCGUCGGCGCACAUCUCCACGAACGCCUCGCGGGCGGGGUUGGAGCGGUAGAACACCUUCUGGAGGAUGUCGAGAACCUUGUAGGUGGCCCAGUACUUGCGGUCCCACUUGUCGAGGUACACGCGAAGGUCGGACUCGUCAACCUCCUUGGUGCCGUUCUGGGAGCGCUCGACGACAGCCUCGGCAGCCAUGCGGCCGGACUUGGCGGCGAAGUAGAUGCCCUCGCCGGAGCACUUGGUGACGUAUCCCGCGGCGUCGCCGACGAGGGUCACGCGGCCCUGCACGCGGCGGGGGCGGGGGUGCUCGGGGAUGGGGUGCGCCUCGACGCGGAUAAUCUUACCACCCGCGCACUUCUCCUCGGCGCGCUUGCGCAUGGCCGCCUGGUACUGCUUGAUCGCCGUCUUGUUCACGACGGUACCGGUGCCGACGGCGACGUGAUCGUACUUGGGGAACACCCAGCCGUAGAAAUCGGGGGAGACGUCGUCGCCGACGUACAUCUCGGCGAGGUCCUUGUAGUAGUCCAUCUUCUCGUCGGGAAUCUUGAUGCGCUCCUGGAAGGCGAUGGCGUAGUCGUACUCGCCGGCGUCGAUGUUCUUGGCGACGCGGGAGUUGGCACCGUCGGCGCCGAUGACGACGUCCACCUCCAUCGUCUUGGGCUCGCCAAC